UAGCUACCCAGUCUCUAGUAUCGGAACUCUGUUCUCCCUGAUCAGCAAUCGCGCACCUGUCCUUUGUCUUCAGCUUUCGUCCACUCUCCAGUUUUUCACUGUCCGCGACCAAGCCCCAGGAUCAGAAUCUCUUUAAAGACAAGAAAAGUAAGAGUCCCCCGAUUACCACAUCAAACACCCCAAUGUACUUCCAGCUCAGAAAGUUUGAGAAUAUCCUGUGGGAGUCACUCCAUUGAGCACACACAGAAGUAAUCCAGGUUUUCACUUUCAAGAAUGCAGGUAUCAUUUUUGAAGUAAAUUUGAAUGAAAUAAUGGUAACUUAAUGCUAGUGUAGUCUAGAAAUGUAUCUGGCACAUGGGAAGCUCUCAAUAAACUUUUCAUUUUCUUGAAAAUGAAUUAAUUCAUUGAAUUAAUUGGUUUGUCUCUAAAAUGACUAACUGGAAAUAAGAUAGUGAGGUAGAGGGGCAUAUGUAUUGAGUAGGCACAAGGGACGGUUUUG